GUAACAGUUGUCAAAAGAAAUUACCGCGGUUGUUUCCCUUGGCAUUUUAAAUUUGCAGUGAAGAUCCAGGCGGGAGAUAGCUGUAUUGAAUUAUUUCGAAAUUAUCAAGGUAAAAACACUCUGCCCUGAACAUUUUCCAGGUUAGGAAUCAGUUUUAAUUGUUUAUCCACAAGAUUUGACAAUGUUUGUUAAAGCUUUUUUCCGAAAUUGUUAUCUGUCAUUAAAUGUCACAUGUUUUCGCGACUUUCCAAUGUUUGUUGUAUUUCAUUGCAUGUCAAAUGUGGUCGCCAGGCAGAAUAACAGGCAUGGAAAGAAACGAAAGGCAGCUGUUGGAGAACUUCGAUUGUCUGUUGCUGUGCACAAAGCUGUCAUGGGUUCCUUGAAAUGCUGCAGAAGUUGAAAUUGAGUGCAGGGAAUGGUUUCAAACAGCCUCUGAUCAUGACGGUGGCAAAAAAGCAAGGGCGGACAAGAAACAUGAUGAAGCAUCGCAAUUUAUUAUAACUCGUUUGUUUAAACUGUGAAUUAAGUCUUCUACUGGAAUCAUUUAUUAUGUAAAGGUCUCUUUGAACUUGUAAUUACUUAUUUUACACAACUUUUAUGCAUAAUGAUGGAAGCAAUGUUUUUAUUAUUAUUAUUAUUUUUAGCCUUUAUUACAUAAAUAGCUUAAAUUGUGUAUGUGUUACUUUUCAAUAUAUUCGUGUUAUAAUCAUUUUAAUUUGUCUUUUUCUUAAAAGAAAACUCAGUCGCUUUGUCAUUAAACAGUUUGUUUAAAAAUGUUAAUUUUUUAGUUGCUGUACCAGUAGAAUUAUAUAGACUUUUUACAUAAUUUGUUUUACAUUUGUUAGUUUUGGUAUAUAUAAAUAUGUUUUACACCAUUAGAAUAAAAAUGUUGGAAUAAGUAAUACAUAAGUAUAUUGUUUUACAUUAUCAGUUAAGUUAGUAGUAUUAUUAAGAAAUACUUUAAUUGUUCCAGUUUGGUUGAAUAGAAUAUUAAAAUAAAACUUUGUUUAAAGGAAAUUUUUCUUUCAUUUAUUUAAGGAACUGGUUAAAUGGUAGGCCCUUAACAAUACCAACAACAAUUACAAAUAAUUGAGGCCAGACAGGGACUGGGGAAUGGUUAAAUGUACCAAUACUAUUGUUGUUGUUUUUUUUGUUGCUGGAUAGAAAUUUGCUGAAUUUAAUUGUUACAAUUUUGUGUGUAUUGUAUGACUACUAUGUUGAAUUUUGCUGACUAGUCUUGUUACUAUUUUUUGUGUAUCGUAUGACUUCAUUAUUGUAUUUUGCUGACUAUAGUCUUACUUGUUACAAUUUUUUGUGUAUCGUAUGACUACUAUGUUGUUUAUGCUGACUAGUCUUACUUGUACUUCUUUUUGUGUAUCGUAUGACUUCAUUGUUGUAUUUUGCUGACUAGUCUUACUUGUGUCUAAUUUUUGUGUAUUGUAUGACUACUAUGUUGAAUUUUGCUGACUAGUCUUACUUGUUACUAUUUAUUGUGUAUCCUAUGACUACUAUGUUGUAUUUUGCUGACUAGUCUUACUUGUUACAAUUUUGUGUGUAUCAUAUGACUACUAUGUUGUAUUUUGCUGACUAGUCUUACUUUUUACUAUUUUUUGUGUAUCGUAUGACUACUAUGUUGUAUUUUGCUUACUAGUCUUACUUGUUACUAUUUUUUGUGUAUCGUAUGACUAUAUACUAUACUGUUGUAUUUUGCUGACUAGUCUUAAUUGUCCCCUACCGGGAAACCAAAGGGGACUUAUCGUUUGCACUACGUCUGUCUUUCUGUCAGUUCGUCACACUUGUCUGGAUCCUGCGAUAACUUUUAGAAGUUCUUCAUAUUUUUUCAUGAAACUUGAAACAGGGAUAGAUGGCAAUAUGGAGAUUAUGCACUUUAUUUCCUUUUGUUCCUACGUCAAAAAUUCUUGUUGCUAUGACAACAAAUUAAAAAAAUU